rnacentral:rRNA from 1 species
UACGAAGGGUGCAAGCGUUACUCGGAAUUACUGGGCGUAAAGCGUGCGUAGGUGGUUCGUUAAGUCUGAUGUGAAAGCCCUGGGCUCAACCUGGGAAUGGCAUUGGAAACUGGCGACCUAGAGUGCGGUAGAGGGUAGUGGAAGUUCCCGGUGUAGCAGUGAAAUGCGUAGAGAUCGGGAGGAACAUCCGUGGCGAAGGCGACUACCUGGACCAGCACUGACACUGAGGCACGAAAGCGUGGGGAGCAAACAGG